GCAGGCUGCAACUCGCCUGCAUGAAGACGGAAUUGCUAGUAAUCGCGAAUCAGCAUGUCGCGGUGAAUACGUUCCCGGGUCUUGUACACACCGCCCGUCACACCAUGGGAGUCGGAAAUGCCCGAAGUCUGUGACCUAACCGUAAGGGAGGAGCAGCCGAAGGCAGGUCGGAUGACUGGGGUGAAGUCGUAACAAGGUAAC
rnacentral:rRNA from 1 species